CCUACGGGAGGCAGCAGUAGGGAAUAUUGCUCAAUGGGGGAAACCCUGAAGCAGCAACGCCGCGUGGAGGAUGAAGGUUUUCGGAUUGUAAACUCCUUUUGUUAGAGAAGAUAAUGACGGUAUUUAACGCAUAAGCACCGGCUAACUCCGUGCCAGCAGCCGCGGUAAUACGGAGGGUGCAAGCGUUACUCGGAAUCACUGGGCGUAAAGUGCGCGUAGGCGGGAUAGCAAGUCGGAUGUGAAAUCCUAGGGCUUAACCAUAGAACUGCAUUUGAAACUGGUAGUCUAGAGUAUGGGAGAGGGAGGUAGAAUUCUUGGUGUAGGGGUAAAAUGCGUAGAGAUCAAGAGGAAUACUCAUUGCGAAGGCGACCUGCUGGAACAUAACUGACGCUGAGGCGCGAAAGCGUGGGGAGCAAACAGGAUUAGAUACCCUAGUAGUC
rnacentral:rRNA from 1 species